rnacentral:lncRNA from 1 species
UGUUGAUGGUAAUUGAAUUAUUCUUGAAUUGAUGUUGAUUGACGGUGUUGAUUGACACUGACACAUGUUGGACAACUGGCAUGCUUUCAAUAUAAUUGUUUUCCUGCUACAUAGAUUAUAAGGCAAUGAUGUGCGGAGAUAUGUCUUGUAAUAAUACCCUUGUUGAUGAUGCUAACUUAGUUAUUCUAAAAUGGGACCUUUUUUUGGAGGAAUUAUUUACGAAUUAUGAUUAGUUUUGGAAAGUUGGAAGUUGGAUUAUAAGCUAUGAUACAUAGAUACCAGACACUAAUAGUUUAAGAAAAUGAAGUGGAUUGAAGGUAGUGUUGUCAAAUAGAGUUAUAGCCUAGCAGAAUUUGAACAAAUCUCUAUUAUCCUGAGAUACACUCAAUAUUUAGUAUAAUCUGUUGUCAAAUUGCAGCUAAGAUAUAGCGGCGCAAGUGUUGUCAAAUAACAGUUAUAGCGGCGCUAUAGCGCUAUAGGGUGCCGGCACUUGAACAAACCGCUAUUGUUAUGCAAUUCACUAUUCAGUGCAAAGUGUUUACAAAUAGAGGCUAUAGUGGUGCUAUUGCUAUACACUAUAAAAUUUGACCAAACUUCUAUUUUUUGCUUUAUGCAAUUGACAACACCGGUUGGAUGCAACCACAUGUGUGAGUGUUGUGUCGAUGUUUGAUAGUGACAUGUGUUUGACACCAAGCACACUUUCAAUUUGAAUUGCCGGGCUACAUAGAUUAUAAGACAAUGUUGUGUGGAUAUUUUUUGUCUU